rnacentral:rRNA from 1 species
CCAAAGUAUUGCGGAGGAUUGGGAUUCCAAGAUAUUGAACUUUUCAAUCUCGCACUUCUGGCACGACAGUCAUGGCUAGUUUUGACAGAGCCAAGCUCUCUGAGUGCACGAAUCCUAAAGGCAAAAUAUUUUCCUUCUUAUGAGUUCUUGCAGGCGAAGCAAGGAGGGGCGCCAUCGCAUGUUUGGAGAGCAAUUUUGGAUGGUCGGGAUACUUUGAAACAAGGCAUCAUCAUGUGA